GCCAGUUCCGGGGAGGGCCCUGGGCCAGCGGCUGUCCGUCCCCCCUCCUUCAUAAAGUCCUGGCCUCGGGACAGCCCGCACAGCUGCCCAGCCUGUGGAGACGGGACAGCUCCUGUCCCACUCACUCUUUCCCCUGCCGCUCCUGCCGGCAGCUCGAACCAUGGGAGGCCUCGUCUUUCUCGCAUUCUGUGUCUGGCUGACGCUGUCGAGAGCUGAAACCCAGGACUCCAGGGGCUGUGCCCGGUGGUGCCCUCAGAACUCCUCGUGUGUCAAUGCCACCGCCUGUCGCUGCAAUCCAGGGUUCAGCUCUUUUUCUGAGAUCAUCACCACCCCCACGGAGACUUGUGACGACAUCAACGAGUGUGCAACACCGUCGAAAGUGUCAUGCGGAAAAUUCUCGGACUGCUGGAACACAGAGGGGAGCUACUACUGCAUGUGCAGCCCGGGAUAUGAGCUUGUUUCUGGGGCAAAAACAUUCACGAAUGAGAGCGAGAACACGUGUCAAGAUGUGGACGAAUGUCAGCGGAACCCAAAGCUCUGUAAAAGCUACGGCACCUGUGUCAACACUCUCGGCAGCUACAUGUGCCAGUGCCUGCCUGGCUUCAAGUUCCAACCUGAGGACCCGAAGCUCUGCACAGAUGUGAAUGAAUGCACCUCCGGACAAAACCCGUGCCACAGCACCACCCACUGCCUCAACAACGUGGGCAGCUAUCAGUGCCGCUGCCGUCCGGGCUGGCAACCGAUUCCGGGGUCCCCCAAUGGCCCAAACAAUACCGUCUGCGAAGGUCGAGAGCUCAGAUCCCACGUUCCCAGAGACCCACAAACAUCUGAUCACAUGUUCAACCGCGCCCACACAAACCAAGCAGAAUGAGCGCUGGAGGCGCCCGGCUGUGCCAGGCGUUCAUUCUUCUGAGGCUAGAUGAGAAAA
rnacentral:sRNA from 1 species